rnacentral:lncRNA from 1 species
UCCAUUUUGUUAUGUUUUCAAUAACUCCUAAUUCAAUACAAUUCAAAUGAACUAAAAUAUACAAUGACACAUUGUUAAAUUGGUCAUAGCUAAUAGGUAGUCACGUAAGAAUAAAUCUGAACACUACUCCAUUCUAUCCCAACUUGAGGCUACAUUGAUGUGAAUUCAGGGCAUGUACCUGGAUUCGAAUGGACAGAAGACAAAAUAGAAGUCAGCAAUGUGUAAUGUCACAGG